rnacentral:rRNA from 1 species
AUUGAACGCUGGCGGCAGGCUUAACACAUGCAAGUCGAGCGAGCGGCGGACGGGUGGGUAGGUUCUGGGAAACUGCCUGAUGGACGGGGCUAACUACUGGAAACGGUAGCUAAUACCGCAUACCAUCCGAUGGGCCCAGAUGGGCUUAGCUAGUAGGUGUGGUAAUGGUGCACCUAGGCGACGAUCCCUAGCUGGUCUGAGAGGAUGACCAGGCACACUGGAACUGGGACACUGUCCAGACUCCUACGGGAGGGCGGAGUGGGGAAUAUUGCACCAUGGGCCCAAGCCUUAUGCAACCAUGACGCGUGGGUGAAGGAGGGCUUCGGGUUGGAAAGCACUUGCAGUGAGGAGGCGUGACUCGCAGCAGAAGCACAGGCUAACUCCGUGCCAGCAGGCGGGGUAAUAC